rnacentral:misc_RNA from 1 species
UAAGCAAGUCAUGGGGAGUAGCCUGUUUCAGAAAAACGAUUUAGUUAAUUUCUCUGAAAAACCCGUAUCAACAUACUCGUUUCAAAAUAAAACGUGGUGCGGGUAGCCUUUAAGGUUGGCAAGACCAUAGGCAUAUAG